rnacentral:rRNA from 1 species
AUUGAACGCUGGCGGAACGCUUUACACAUGCAAGUCGAACGGUAACAGCGAGGAAAGCUUGCUUUUUUCGGCUGACGAGUGGCGAACGGGUGAGUAAUACAUCGGAACGUGUCCGCUCGUGGGGGACAACCAUCCGAAAGGAUGGCUAAUACCGCAUGAGUUCUACGGAAGAAAGAGGGGGACCUGCUUGCAGGCCUCUCGCGAGCGGAGCGGCCGAUGACUGAUUAGCCGGUUGGUGAGGUAACGGCUCACCAAAGCAACGAUCAGUAGCUGGUCUGAGAGGACGACCAGCCACACUGGGACUGAGACACGGCCCAGACUCCUACGGGAGGCAGCAGUGGGGAAUUUUGGACAAUGGGCGCAAGCCUGAUCCAGCUAUUCCGCGUGUGGGAUGACGGCCCUCGGGUUGUAAACCACUUUAGUAGAGAACGAAAAGGAGCUAUCGAAUAAAUAGCUCUGCUGACGGUACUCUAAGAAUAAGCACCGGCUAACUACGUGCCAGCAGCCGCGGUAAUACGUAGGGUGCGAGCGUUAAUCGGAAUUACUGGGCGUAAAGGGUGUGCAGGCGGCUGAGUAAGACAGAUGUGAAAUCCCCGGGCUUAACCUGGGAACCGCAUAUGUGACUGCUUGGCUAGAGUGCGUCAGAGGGAGGUGGAAUUCCACGUGUAGCAGUGAAAUGCGUAGAUAUGCGGAAGAACACCGAUGGCGAAGGCAGCCUCCUGGGACGCAACUGACGCUCAUACACGAAAGCGUGGGGAGCAAACAGGAUUAGAUACCCUGGUAGUCCACGCCCUAAACGAUGUCAACUAGUUGUUGGGGAUUAAAUUCCUCAGUAACGCAGCCAACGCGUGAAGUUGACCGCCUGGGAAGUACGGUCGCAAGACUAAAACUCAAAGGAAUUGACGGGGACCCGCACAAGCGGUGGAUGAUGUGGAUUAAUUCGAUGCAACGCGAAAAACCUUACCUACCCUUGACAUGUCAGAGAAGCUUUUGUAAUGAGAGUGUGCCCGCAAGGGCGUCUGAACACAGGUGCUGCAUGGCUGUCGUCAGCUCGUGUCGUGAGAUGUUGGGUUAAGUCCCGCAACGAGCGCAACCCUUGUCACUAGUUGCUACGAAGGGGCACUCUAGUGAGACUGCCGGUGACAAACCGGAGGAAGGUGGGGAUGACGUCAAGUCCUCAUGGCCCUUAUGGGUAGGGCUUCACACGUCAUACAAUGGUCGGAACAGAGGGCAGCCAACCCGUGAGGGGGAGCAAAUCCCAGAAAACCGAUCGUAGUCCGGAUUGUAGUCUGCAACUCGACUGCAUGAAGUCGGAAUCGCUAGUAAUCGCGGAUCAGCAUGCCGCGGUGAAUACGUUCCCGGGUCUUGUACACACCGCCCGUCAAACAAUGGGAGUGGUGUUUACCAGAAGUCGUUAGCCUAACCGCAAGGAGGGCGGCGACCACGGUGAGCACCGUGACUAAUGUUAAGUCGUAACAAGGUAGCCGUACCGGAAGGUGCGGCUGGAUCACCUCCUUUCAAGAGAAAGCGAAUGAAAGCUUUUAGAAGACGUUUGAAUUCAUUCAGCGCUCACACUUAUCGGCAGUCGAUAAAUCGAAAAGAAAUAUGUUCUUUAACAAUUCGGAAAGAUUGAAAAAUCUAACGUUAAGACUGAUUUGAUGAGAGUCAGUCAAGACGGGUAGUGAUUGGAAAUCAAGCAAAGUUAAAACUUUGAGAUUUCUCAAGCAUGAGACAUUGACAGCAUAUGGGCACAAAGAACCAAGUUACUUGUGACCCGGCCGGGCAAUAGGCGGCAGGGUUAUAGGAUCAAGUGACUAAGUGCAUGUGGCGGAUGCCUUGGCGAUCACAGGCGAAGAAAGACGCGGCAGCCUGCGAAAAGCUGCGGGGAGCUGGCAAACAAGCAUUGAUCCGCAGAUAUCUGAAUGGGGGAACCCACACCGCAAGGUGUAUCUGCAUCUGAAUACAUAGGGUGCAGAGGCGAACGAGGAGAACUGAAACAUCUAAGUAUCCUCAGGAAAAGAAAUCAACCGAGAUUCCGGCAGUAGCGGCGAGCGAACCCGGAAGAGCCUAACAGCUGAUAGUUUGAAGCGUAGUCGAACGGAAUGGAAAGUCCGGCCAUAGCGGGUGAUAGCCCCGUAGGCGAAACGCUUUGAAUGGUACUAAGGCAGUGAGAAGUAGAGCGGGACACGUGGAAUCCUGUUCGAAGACGGGGGGACCAUCCUCCAAGGCUAAAUACUCGUGAUCGACCGAUAGUGAACC